rnacentral:tRNA from 1 species
UCUCUGAUAUCUCAGUUGGUAAAGUAUCUGCCUGCAAUGCAGGAGACCUGGGUUUGAUCCCUGGGUUGGGAA